rnacentral:rRNA from 1 species
GACGAACGCUGGCGGCGUGCCUAAUACAUGCAAGUAGAACGCACAGUUUAUACCUUAGCUUGCUACACCAUAAACUGUGAGUUGCGAACGGGUGAGUAACGCGUAGGUAACCUGCCUGGUAGCGGGUGAUAACUAUUGGAAACGAUAGCUAAUACCUCAUAAUAUUGAUUAUUGCAUGAUAAUUGAUUGAAAGAUGCUAUUGCAUCACUACCAGAUGGACCUGCGUUGGAUUAGCUAGUAGGUGAGGUAACGGCUCACCUAGGCGACGAAACAUAGCCGACAGGCGAGGGCGAGUAGCCACACUGAGAGGGAGACACGCCACAGACUCACAAGGGAGGGAGCAGUAGGGCAACUUCGGGCAUGGGUGAAGGUCUGAGCGAGAAACGCCGAGUGAGUGAAGAAGGAUGCCGGAUGGUAAAGGUCUGUUGUAAGGGAAGAAAGGGCGUGAGCGUGGAACGUUGAGACUGUGACGGUAUUUUAUAAGAAAGGGACGGCUAACUACGUG